UGAUAUAGCCGUUGUAAUCACCAAAGA
rnacentral:sRNA from 1 species